GACCUCCUGGUGCUGACCACAGGCUGCGUUCUUACCCUGACUGUACAAAAGGAGGAGGGAAAGUAAACCUGCCCCUUAUACACCUCAGCCCACUUCCUGUGCCUGGUUUGUAUUGUGAAUGGGGACACAUAA
rnacentral:snoRNA from 1 species